rnacentral:rRNA from 1 species
UACGGGGGGAGCAAGCGUUGUUCGGAUUUACUGGGCGUAAAGGGCGCGUAGGCGGCCAGCGCAAGUCAGUUGUGAAAUCUCCGGGCUUAACUCGGAAAGGUCAACUGAUACUGCGCGGCUAGAGUGCGGAAGGGGCAACUGGAAUUCUCGGUGUAGCGGUGAAAUGCGUAGAUAUCGUGAGGAAGACCAGUGGCGAAGGCGAUUCUCUGGGCAGUUCCUGACACUGAGGCACGAAGGCUAGGGGAGCAAACGGG